rnacentral:rRNA from 1 species
GAGAAGCUUGCUUCUUGGGUGGCGAGUGGCGAACGGGUGAGUAACAUAUCGGAACGUACCGAGUAGUGGGGGAUAACUGAUCGAAAGAUCAGCUAAUACCGCAUACGUCUUGAGAGGGAAAGCAGGGGACCUUCGGGCCUUGCGCUAUUCGAGCGGCCGAUAUCUGAUUAGCUAGUUGGUGGGGUAAAGGCCUACCAAGGCGACGAUCAGUAGCGGGUCUGAGAGGAUGAUCCGCCACACUGGGACUGAGACACGGCCCAGACUCCUACGGGAGGCAGCAGUGGGGAAUUUUGGACAAUGGGCGCAAGCCUGAUCCAGCCAUGCCGCGUGUCUGAAGAAGGCCUUCGGGUUGUAAAGGACUUUUGUCAGGGAAGAAAAGGCUGUUGCUAAUAUCAUCAGCUGAUGACG